UGGGACAGUGAUGAAGAAGUCCAAGUUCCAUGGCCACUCAACAAAGGAGGAAGGAAGCAGUCACAAACCAAAUACGUGGCAAGAAUUCUGAGAUUUGGUGAAGACACACGUGAACUGACGCCAUAUUUGAAAGCCGCUCAGGAUGGCAAGGAUGUACCCCUUACUGGUGAUUUGGAAUAUGGCAGAGGCAAGAGAAACAAACAGCCAAAGUCUUGGUCAUCAGACAGUGAGAGCAAGGAUGAAAGUGACGAGGAGACUCUAUCUGACAGACAGCAG